rnacentral:rRNA from 1 species
UACAGAGGUCCCAAGCGUUGUUCGGAUUCACUGGGCGUAAAGGGCGCGUAGGCGGCCAGCGCAAGUCAGUUGUGAAAUCUCCGGGCUUAACUCGGAACGGUCAACUGAUACUGCGCGGCUAGAGUGCAGAAGGGGCAACUGGAAUUCUCGGUGUAGCGGUGAAAUGCGUAGAUAUCGAGAGGAACACCUGCGGCGAAGGCGGGUUGCUGGGCUGACACUGACGCUGAUGCGCGAAAGCCAGGGGAGCGAACGGG